rnacentral:rRNA from 1 species
CUACGGGAGGCAGCAGUCGAGGAUCUUCGGCAAUGGGCGCAAGCCUGACCGAGCGACGCCGCGUGUGCGAUGAAGGCCUUCGGGUUGUAAAGCACUGUCGAGGGUGAGGAAGGGGUAACCUUGACCUAACCCUGGAGGAAGCACGGGCUAAGUUCGUGCCAGCAGCCGCGGUAAGACGAACCGUGCGAACGUUGUUCGGAUUCACUGGGCUUAAAGGGCGCGUAGGCGGGCGUUCAAGUCUGGGGUGAAAUCCUCCGGCCCAACCGGAGAAGAGCCUCUGAUACUGGAUGUCUGGAGGGAGGUAGGGGUGUGUGGAACUUCCGGUGGAGCGGUGAAAUGCGUAGAUAUCCGGAGGAACACCGAUGGCGAAGGCAGCGGUCUGGGGCCACACUGACGCUGAGGCACGAAAGCGUGGGGAGCAAACAGGAUUAGAAACCCGAGUAGUCC